ACCGAGGAAAUGGUGAAAUACUGUGUUGUGGUUAAUUUGCCGUUUGCUUUCAGAGUGAGUAGUAUUUUGUGGAAGUAAACAGAUGAGGGCUCAGAAUUCAGACACUUAAGUUACCUCCUCCAUAAUUAAAUAAAAGGAACAAGCUUAUACCUAUGUGUCUAUACAUUUGAACCUUCAGUUACACAGGUCUGAGUUGAUGGCAGACCUUAAAGUUGUGGAAUUUUGCUUAGCACUCAGACUAUGCUAGUUCUAACGUAAACAGAAAUAACUGAUGACGGUUCAACGUUUGCAUUCCCAGCUCCCUUCCUCCCUGAGCCAGUCUUCAGCCACCCCACCCCCUUUUUAAAAUUGAUCACAGACUACUCUGUGUGUGUCUCCUUGUACUCAUUUUGACUCCUACUUUUAUAUACAGGUUUCAAGUUUAUUUAUUUAUUUGAUCUUUUUGAGAUAAAGUCUCACUAAGUAGCUGUGGCUGGCCUGGACCUUGCUUUGCAGAUCCUUCUGGCCUUUAUCUCAGAGAUCUGCCUGCUUUUGCCUCUGUUUCUGCCUCCCCAGUGCUAGGAUUAAAGGCUUGAACCACUACUUUUCUUGCUACAUUCUUUUUGUUCUCUAGUUCUACCACCACCACCACCACAACCACUACUUCUUCCCCCUCCUCCUCCUCCUCUUCCCCCUCCUCCUCCAUCUCCAGUACCACCACAGCCUUCUCCUUUUUUUUGUCCUUCCUGUAGUAGCCAUUUGCUUUGAAGAAAAAGUUAACUGUUGUCUUCACAUUGUUGUUUCUCAGUCUUUCUGCAAUGGUGAUUGGCGUGUUUCUGUGCUGCAUCCAGGGAGUGCUUUCCUCCUGACUUGUACUCUAAUUUGACUGCUAGGAGGCUGGCCGGCUUUUAGAAGCUCCAGCUUAAAGAGCAUGCAUAUCUAGUUUUCUUCCUGUAUUCUGUUCCUGCUGCAUGGCUGAUGUACAUCACCCUUCCUGUAGACUUUGGCUCUUAAGUGCUCUGCUGCCCAGGUUUCCCAGGACUUUGUAACCAUGAAGUUUCCAUUUCUGUUUCCUUUUUGAUUGCCAUUUGGGAAAUUAAAUGGUCAGCAAUUGGGUUACUUAGUUGUGUGAAAGUAACUAUGUAACUGUGUAAGUGGGUUUUUCAGCCUUUAUGUAUUUUAAAUGUAAAAAUGUAGCUAUCUUCUUAGAGUCUUAAGGAUUUUGGCUACUGGAUAAAAGAAAGACUAGUUAAACUUUUCUUCCUUUAGAUAUGGCUCUUUACCUUUUUUAAAAAACAUGUUUUAAUUGAAUUUCUAUAAACUAACUCUCUUCCCAUUUUGUUUCCCAAAGCCAUAAUAUAUCUAAGUGUAGGAAGAUUGCUAAGAAAACCACGUGACAGAGUCAGUAAAAUAGUAGAUAAUGUUUUGCAAAGGCAGUGGACUUCACUUUGAUUUUUGAAAUAGGUUCUUGCUGUGUGACUUCAGCUGCCUUCAAACUUGUAAUCCCCUGCCUUGUCCUGGAGUACUGGGAUUGCAGCUGCUUUACUGUUUAAGAGAUCGACUAUACUGGGGCAUUUGACAGAUAAUGAUGCAUGGAUGCAGUGUGUACCUAGGGUAUAAGCAGAUCCUAUGAGACCUGGAGACAGGUUUAUAGGAGAGUUCACAGGUUUUCUUUCUGUAAUUUCUAAAGCCCCUCUCAUAGCAUUUCUAAGGACACCUUUUUUAGGGGAGGGGAUAAGGCCCUACUUACUGUACAGGCCAGGCCGGCCUCAAACUAAUCCUUCCACCUCUGCCCUCCUGAGUUCUGAAAUUACAAAGCACGUCAUUACCCCAGCAAGGACUCCACACUUCCUCCACCCCACCUACUAUAGAAGACUUUUGCCUUUUGUUUAGUGAUUUUACUCUUGACAUUUGAAGUUAGUAGAUUGUCUAGAAAAUUUUGUUUUAUGUGUUUUAAGUUUUAAUAGCUUGUCAAUUACUAAAAUGUCUUAGUCAUAGAUAAUAAUUAGCUUGUUGACAUCUAAAUCAGUGUUAGCUAGGGAAAUAACUUGUAAUAUAGUCUGGAUUUGUAGGUUGAGAACACCAAAAAAUUGAUGAAACAUCUUUAAAACUUUCUAUUGAAUAUGUGGGAAAAAUAACGACUAAGAUGGUAUAAGAUAAUUUAAACUGUGAGUGCAAUGCAGUGUAUCUGACAGAGCCCUAUGCUCUCCUUGUCAGUGUGGUGGGGAGAGUGAUUUGAACUGUUCUUGCAUUAGUUUUAUUCAUAGUGUAAUAUAACGAUGCAAUGUCAUGUUCUGAUUUGUUUGACUUACAGCAAAUGAACUGCAACUUAUCUCUUUUACUUUAGGCUUUCAGAUAAACUUCUGUGAAAAGGCACAAAGUAAGCUAAAAUUUUGAUAUUCUGUUACUUUUUUCUCAUAUCCAUCUUGGUAUUGGGAAUGUGUCCACUGUUGUUUCAACUAACAGACCAUGGGGAUUUUGCACUGAAAGAGCUUCCAUUUUUCAUUCUGUUCCUUCCCACCCUUAGUUAUAUUCUUAACUAUAAAUUGUUUUUGUUUUUACUUGAAAUUCAAAUAGG
rnacentral:lncRNA from 1 species